GUGGGUGUAGCUCAGCCCGGUUAGAGCAUCAGGUUGUGGCCCUGGGGGUCGCGGGUUCAAAUCCCGUCACCCACC
rnacentral:tRNA from 2 species